rnacentral:rRNA from 1 species
GACGUAGGUGGCAAGCGUUAUCCGGAUUCACUGGGCGUAAAGCGAGUGCAGGUGGUUGUGUAAGUUGGAUGUGAAAUUUCCCAGCCUAACUGGGAAGGGUCAUUCAAUACUGCGCGACUUGAGGGCAGAAGAGGGGGGUGGAAUUGCCGGUGUAGUGGUGAAAUGCGUAGAUAUCGGCAGGAACACCUGUGGCGAAAGCGGCCCCCUGGUCUGAUCCUGACACUCAGACUCGAAAGCUAGGGUAGCGAACGGG